rnacentral:rRNA from 1 species
GACGGAGGGUGCAAGCGUUGCUCGGAAUCACUGGGCGUAAAGGGUGCGUAGGCGGCUUGGUAAGUUGGGUGUGAAAGCCCCGGGCUCAGCCCGGGAAGGGCACUCGAAACUGCCGAGCUGGAGUGCCGGAGGGGAGAGUGGAAUUCCUGGUGUAGCGGUGAAAUGCGUAGAUAUCAGGAGGAAUACCGGUGGCGAAAGCGACUCUCUGGACGGCAACUGACGCUGAGGCACGAAAGCGUGGGGAGCAAACAGG